rnacentral:rRNA from 1 species
UACGGGGGGGGGUAAGCGUUGUUCGGAAUUACUGGGCGUAAAGGGCUCGUAGGCGGCCAACUAAGUCAUACGUGAAAUCCCUCAGCUUAACUGGGGAACUGCGUCUGAUACUGGGUGGCUUGAAUCCGGGAGAGGGAUGCGGAAUUCCAGGUGUAGCGGUGAAAUGCGUAGAUAUCUGGAGGAACACCGGUGGCGAAGGCGGCAUCCUGGACCGGCAUUGACGCUGAGGCGCGAAAGCCAGGGGAGCAAACGGG